GACAGUUACAAUUCUGUUUUGACGGUUAUGACUGUUAGCAAUUGAGUUGGUUAUGGUUAGUUUAGUACCAUGGGGUUAGUGUUACUUGGAGGCUAGUUUGGGAAUAUGUUGAUCUGGAUUUGAAACCAAAAAUGCUUUGUGACUUCCUCUUGAUUUGUUUUUUCUUGUUUUAAUUCUUUUUUUUUUCAAACCAAUUUGCCUGAAACUGAUUUGAAGCUUAUCCUCUUGUUUUCUUCUACAGGGCGUAGUAAUACAGCAGAUAAGGUUUCAUGACACGAUUUGAACACGAGUAUAGUAAGAUUUCCCUGGUGGUGUAACACACAAUCGGAUGGUGGACUACUUUGAUGCGAGUGAAUGGCUUGAAUGGAACUGUCUUGGUAAUCCAUGUGACUUUGGUGCAUGGCUGAUUGGUAAUGGUUAUGUGUAUUGUGCAGGGCUGGAAUUUAGUAGACAAUUGGUUAGUGAUAUGGAUCUCUUUUGAAUGAUGCAUCAUGUAUGGGGCUGAUCACAUAUGGAUUGUGGCAGGUUUUUGGAUGGUUUAAACUAAUGUGAAUUGAUUGUGGAUUUUCUGAGCUAUGCUGAAACUGGAUACAAAAUGUCUAUGAAGUAUGCUGAAUGGUUUUUAUGUGUGUUGCAGGUUUGCUUGAGCAGUGGUGUUUGAUUCAAUCAUUCCUUCAACGAGAACCUUGAAGCCGGCGUUCAGUUGGACCAUAUCUUCACGGAGAAACCAUCAUUGCUUGGUCAUAGAGAACACUUGAAACAAAGAGCAAUUAGGAUGGGAUUUGGGAUAAGAACAAUAGGCUCCUCACGUUUUCUCUUGUUGUAA